GAUGAACGCUGGCGGCGUGCUUAACACAUGCAAGUCGAACGGUGAAGGCGGAGCUUGCUCUGCUGGAUCAGUGGCGAACGGGUGAGAAACACGUGAGCAAUCUGCCCCUGACUCUGGGAUAAGCGCUGGAAACGGCGUCUAAUACUGGAUACGAGCUGCGAAGGCAUCUUCAGCAGCUGGAAAGAACUUCGGUCAGGGAUGAGCUCGCGGCCUAUCAGCUUGUUGGUGAGGUAACGGCUCACCAAGGCGUCGACGGGUAGCCGGCCUGUGAGGGUGACCGGCCACACUGGGACUGAGACACGGCCCAGAAUCCUACGGGAGGCAGCAGUGGGGAAUAUUGCACAAUGGGCGAAAGCCUGAUGCAGCAACGCCGCGUGAGGGACGACGGCCUUCGGGUUGUAAACCUCUUUUAGCAGGGAAGAAGCGAAAGUGACGGUACCUGCAGAAAAAGCGCCGGCUAACUACGUG
rnacentral:rRNA from 1 species